UCCCUUCAUCCCUGGACCACUGAGUUAUUCUGUGAUUAGAAUUUGCAAGAAAGGAACACUUUUUACCACCGCAAAACACAUUUAAAUGCUUUUCAUCCUUCUUUUAAUUACAGGCAUAGGACAGCAAUUGCCAUCUUGUGCCUUGGUGGCCAAACUCACAGGCUGGCUCGAGAAGUGCCCAAACACAGCAUGUAGCUGAAGACCUGCAACAGCAGAUGGUGCUUCAGGGGUCUCCAGUGUUUCAAGCUCUCCUUCCUUCACCUACAUUCACAGUUCCAGUAAAACUCAUCAGAUAACUCAUUUAGGUCAUGCCUCACUUGGUGCUUAGGAUGGAUGGUGGUUUGGAAAUCAAUCAGGGAACGUUUUCAUAAUCAGAAAGAGCUGAUGAAGAUGCUGGAGGCUCUAAGGUGGCUGAGUUUUAGGAACCUUGUGGAUUUCUUCACUCAUAAAUAUGAGAUAGUGCCGUACAACUUGACCUUCUCAAACAAAGGUUUUGCAGAAGGGAGUGUAAUAUCCA